GACUUGGUGGCGGAGGGUCUGCGUCUGCUCACCAUGAUUUCUUCGACGGUGUAGUUCCGCAGAUGGCGCCUGUUCGACUCAGGCCCGAGUCA